rnacentral:lncRNA from 1 species
UUUUUCCAAAAUUUACACUACCGCCAGAGCGUCAAUGGGUAGUAGCAGGGGCUACCCCUUGUAUCAAGCUAUAUCCGCCCCUAAAGAUAGCUAAGCUGACCCCUUUAUAUAAUAAUAUAAUAUUUAACGAAUAUUAAGUUACAUGCGUAUUAGGUACUUCAAGCCAAAAACUUACCAAAUAUUCAUGCACACGACCCAUCUCACCGUAUGAAAAAUAAAAUCGAAAAUAAAUAAUAAUUAGAGUUAACUUUCGUUUUGCUCCCUGUGGUUUGGUCAUUUUAACGGUGGUGGUGGAUGGUUGUGGAUGGUGUUUAACACCCUCUAAACGUUGACUUCCAGUCAAACUCAAACAUAAACCCGAAAAUAGUAACAAUUAACCGUAAGCAGCGAUCAUAACUCCUAAUAGUUCAGGAAAACUAAAUCAAUGACGAAUUCGACGAAAAUUUAACGAGAACUUACGGAAUUAAAGUAGGUGGAACAAGUUAACCUGCAAAUUGGAUAGGAGAUUGAUUUGAGUGGACUGAAUAUGGAUAUUGAAGCAUGUUGUGAUAAUUUGUUGAUGUGAAUAUGUGAGGUUACGGAU